CCUACGGGAGGCAGCAGUGAGGAAUAUUGGUCAAUGGACGAGAGUCUGAACCAGCCAAGUAGCGUGAAGGAUGACUGCCCUAUGGGUUGUAAACUUCUUUUAUAUGGGAGUAAAAUGUUCCACGUGUGGGACUUUGUAUGUAGCAUAUGAAUACGGAUCGGCUAACUCCGUGCCAGCAGCCGCGGUAAUACGGAGGAUCCGAGCGUUAUCCGGAUUUAUUGGGUUUAAAGGGAGCGUAGGUGGAUUGUUAAGUCAGUUGUGAAAGUUUGCGGCUCAACCGUCAGAUUGCAGUUGAAACUGGCAGACUUGAGUACAGUAGAGGUGACCGGAAUUCGUGGUGUAGCAGUGAAAUGCUUAGAUAUCACGAAGAACUCCGAUUGCGAAGGCAGCUCACUGGACUGCAACUGACGCUGAGGCUCGAAAGUGUGGGGAUCAAACGGGAUUAGAUACCCCAGUAGUC
rnacentral:rRNA from 1 species